GGGCACCGGGCUGUGCCUCUCUCCUCAGCCCUGCUGGCUGUCCCUCAGUUUCCCCAUCGGUAAAAUGGAGGAUGUGUGCCAAACGCUGCUCGAAAACCACCGUCAGAUAGAGGGAAUGUAGGUGAGGAGCUCGGGUGAUGCUGGCUGUAAUGCAACAGAUCGAGGGCUUGAGGCUGUGCACUUCAGCCCUGUGAGCGUGAGGAGCAGCCCGGCCCGAGCACGGCUGAAUACAGCACAGCCAGAGUUCUGUGCUGGAAGGAAAUGAGCCCCGAGGAAUUGGGAAUUGGCCUCUGUCAUCUUCAAAGCCUAAUGAACCAAGUCAUCCCCGUUUGUGGGAGGCUUUAGCGGGAUUGGAGAUGAGCAGGGAGCUGGGGGGAGGGAUGGUGAGCGCUGUCCCCACACGGGAUGCAGGCGCUGGUGGGGAGCUGAACCACGCUGCUGUCCUUUGGCAGAGCCCAAUGCGAGGAUAUGAAGCUGGGGGCCCCGGCUGGGCUGGGGGCUGCACACCCCAUUUGUCCCAGUUUUCCUAUUGGAUAGGAGAACAGCUGCGUUGGUCCUCAUUCACCCGUAUGGACGAAGCAUCUGGCAAGGAAAACGAGAGGAGAGGGCUCUGGCCGUGCUGCACACUUCGCCAUGUAAACCUGCCCAGCCUCGCAGAUGCCAGCUGUCAGCACAGCCCUGGACCUGCAGAACGGUUGCGUCUGGGUGCAUCCUUCCCAGGUCGGGGAGAGGAGGAACAGAGCCACUCAGACCACAAGGAUGAAGUCAAAGCAUGAGCACACAACCAGCUCCUCGUGGAUCCCAAAAGCAAUAGGAAUGCAUGGCCAGGAAGUGGGGAAAGCAGUGGGAUUUGUGAUCCCACCCUCCAUAGAGCCCUACUUUGUGUCGCACAGCCCCAUGCUAAUGCCCUGUGGAUGAUGGUGAUGCUUUCCCUCCUGGCUCAGAGAGACAGAAAAGCGUGGCGAAAUUAAGACAUGUAAAAAGAAGUCUUUAAAAGAUAAUCUCCCGUGGCUCCUAAAUUGCACCGAGCUAUGGGUUUACUGCCAGAGAAUUGCUCGGCUUGUAUAAUAGGAUCAGGGC
rnacentral:lncRNA from 1 species